AACGAACGGUCGUGUGUACGGAUGAAAUAAAUUGUAAUAGUCAAAGUGACAAAAUUCGUAAAGAUUAAUGUCGAAUUAACUUUCGCGUAGACGUGCUACGUUAUAAACUAAAUAAAAAUCGACUGAUUUGUAUGAACUGAUUUAAAGACUGCCUAAUUUGGCUUACCCAAGUGAAUUGCACGGUUUACGAGCGUCUGUUUUUCCCUCACACACUGAGUGUGUGCCUGUAUGCGUGUGUCUGUAUGAGUGUUUCUGGGUGCAUUUGUUUAUUCCGACCGCCAAAUACUACUUCUUAGUGAACUUGCGUUGCUGGGCGGCGCUGUCAUUACCCCCACCCUUCCGCGUGCCCUUCCCGUAUUCACGCAUUGUGCAGAAAAAAAAUCGAAACUCCCGCACAUUAACUGUAUGUUGAGUUGUCGGAAUUGCUACAAAACAGAAAACAAAAAUUGAAACACAAAGAAAUAUGAUUUAAAGCAUAAUAUGAAAUUACGGUUAAAUGCUAAUGCGUGACACACAGCCUGCGUAAAUCUAUUCAAAAUAGACCAAACAACUUUUUUUGUACUUUUCCAUAACGAAACGCAUCGCACAACACUGACAAUAACUGUUUACCGAAUUAUUUGGCAAUUUGUAUACAAACAGUAGCAACAAAAACAAGAAACGCAUACCAGACUCUAAUGAACUUUAAACUAGCUGAAUAUAUUUUAUACCCAGUGUUCAACGUUUGGAGCCCACUGUGCUGAACUGUUAACAUAAUCAAGAGCAAUAAACAAGUGCUUUAAAUUUUGUUUAAAUUAAGACUGGAUAUAAAAAGAAAUCGUUGUCAUUCGACCUAAAAUGUAAACUGUGUAAGUUUACGAUUUGAACAAUAACAACAAAAAUCAGUCUAUAAUGGUUGUAAUUUAGCUAAUAAACAAUUUACGGACACGGAAAUCACGUGGAAGCAACUUGAACUCCAUUUGUGAACAGCAGGAGCAGCGACUGUGGCAGCAUCAGCUGCUAAUCGACUACAACAAUAAGCAUAAAUCAUCGUCAAGCAACAACAACAUUGCGAUUGAGUUGCAAGCCUAAGCAAAGUGAAGAGCAAGCAAAAAACAUAUAACGCAUUAAUCAUACGCCGCGUGCGCCGCAAUUGAAACGCCCUGUGAAAUUUGCUCCAACGAAAUGUUUGCGAAAAGGCCGCACAAUGCGCCGCGCACUUGACACGCGUUGAGUUACUGUUACAGUUACCGUCAUUACCGUAACGUCAAUCGAUCAAUCGAUAAAUUUGUUAUCGUUUAUUUGUUUUUUUUGGGUUUUUAGUUUUCACGUCGCUUGUUUUUUAUUUCGCUUUGUUUAUUCGAAGUGCCGCAUGUACGUGUCCGGGCUAAAAACGUUUACUGGCAGCUACAACUGCAACAACAACAACAAUAACAA
rnacentral:sRNA from 1 species